rnacentral:rRNA from 1 species
AAUGAUGAAUGUCAUAGAUUAGACAUAUAGUUUAUUCUAUAAAUGAAAGUGUAAGCAUUCCACCUCAAGAGUAAUUUGGCAACAUUGGAACUGAAAUCAUUAGACCGUUUCUGAAACCAGUAGUGAAGUAUGUUGUUUAAUUUGAUAGUCCUCAAAAAACCUUACCACAAUUUGAAUAUUUAUGUUUUGAUUAGUUCUGUUUUUAAAACUUGUUUCAUAAAAACAAGAAAAUAUAUAAAACUAAGUUUUUUUGUUAAUAAUAAACGGGCUGGAACUAAUUAAGACAUAUCUACAAGCGUUGCACGGCUGUCUUCAGUUAAUGUCGUGAGAUUUUGGUUAGUUCCAUUAAAUUAACGUAAACCCUUACUUUAUUUUUAGAUAAAGUAGUUCCCCAAUAUAUUGGAUAAGAUAACAGGGACUAAGACAAGUCAUCAUGGCCUAAACCUAUUGU